GAUGAACGCUGGCGGCGUGCCUAAUACAUGCAAGUCGAGCGAACAGAUAAGGAGCUUGCUCCUUUGACGUUAGCGGCGGACGGGUGAGUAACACGUGGGUAACCUACCUAUAAGACUGGAAUAACUCCGGGAAACCGGGGCUAAUGCCGGAUAACAUUUAGAACCGCAUGGUUCUGAAGUGAAAGAUGGUUUUGCUAUCACUUAUAGAUGGACCCGCGCCGUAUUAGCUAGUUGGUAAGGUAACGGCUUACCAAGGCAACGAUACGUAGCCGACCUGAGAGGGUGAUCGGCCACACUGGAACUGAGACACGGUCCAGACUCCUACGGGAGGCAGCAGUAGGGAAUCUUCCGCAAUGGGCGAAAGCCUGACGGAGCAACGCCGCGUGAGUGAUGAAGGUCUUCGGAUCGUAAAACUCUGUUAUUAGGGAAGAACAAAUGUGUAAGUAACUGUGCACGUCUUGACGGUACCUAAUCAGAAAGCCACGGCUAACUACGUG
rnacentral:rRNA from 1 species